rnacentral:ncRNA from 1 species
GUGGUACCCCGUCAACGGGGUCCCCGGACGAGUGGGUGCCGUACCCGGUCAGCGACAAGACGGCGCUCG